UGGGGAAUUUUGGACAAUGGGCGAAAGCCUGAUCCAGCAAUGCCGCGUGCAGGAUGAAGGCCCUCGGGUUGUAAACUGCUUUUGUACGGAACGAAAAACCUGAGGCUAAUAUCCUCGGGUCAUGACGGUACCGUAAGAAUAAGCACCGGCUAACUACGUGCCAGCAGCCGCGGUAAUACGUAGGGUGCAAGCGUUAAUCGGAAUUACUGGGCGUAAAGCGUGCGCAGGCGGUUUUGUAAGACAGUGGUGAAAUCCCCGGGCUCAACCUGGGAACUGCCAUUGUGACUGCAAGGCUGGAGUGCGGCAGAGGGGGAUGGAAUUCCGCGUGUAGCAGUGAAAUGCGUAGAUAUGCGGAGGAACACCGAUGGCGAAGGCAAUCCCCUGGGCCUGCACUGACGCUCAUGCACGAAAGCGUGGGGAGCAAACAGG
rnacentral:rRNA from 1 species